GACGAACGCUGGCGGCGUGCUUAACACAUGCAAGUCGUACGGUAAGGCCCUUUCGGGGGUACACGAGUGGCGAACGGGUGAGUAACACGUGAGUAACCUGCCCACAACUUUGGGAUAACGCUAGGAAACUGGUGCUAAUACUGGAUAUGUGCUCCUGCUGCAUGGUGGGGGUUGGAAAGCUCCGGCGGUUGUGGAUGGACUCGCGGCCUAUCAGCUUGUUGGUGGGGUAGUGGCCUACCAAGGCGGCGACGGGUAGCCGGCCUGGGAGGGUGACCGGCCACAUUGGGACUGAGAUACGGCCCAGACUCCUACGGGAGGCAGCAGUGGGGAAUAUUGCACAAUGGGCGCAAGCCUGAUGCAGCAACGCCGCGUGCGGGAUGACGGCCUUCGGGUUGUAAACCGCUUUCAGCAGGGACGAAGCUUUUUGUGACGGUACCUGCAGAAGAAGCACCGGCUAACUACGUG
rnacentral:rRNA from 1 species